CACGUAGGGUGCGAGCGUUGUCCGGAAUUAUUGGGCGUAAAGAGCUCGUAGGCGGUGUGUCGCGUCGGCCGUGAAAACCUGCAGCUUAACUGUGGGCUUGCGGUCGAUACGGGCAUCACUGGAGUUCGGCAGGGGAGACUGGAAUUCCUGGUGUAGCGGUGAAAUGCGCAGAUAUCAGGAGGAACACCGGUGGCGAAGGCGGGUCUCUGGGACGGUACUGACGCUGAGGCGCGACAGCGUGGGGAGCAAACAGG
rnacentral:rRNA from 1 species